GCCAGGUGUGCUGAUGUGCUCCUGUGAUCUCAGCUACUCAGGAGGCUGAGGCAGGAGGUUUGCUUGAAUCCAGGAGUUGGGUGCAGCAUGGCAACACAGUGAGAACCUGUCUCCA
rnacentral:sRNA from 1 species